rnacentral:rRNA from 1 species
GUGCCAGCCGCCGCGGUAAUACGUAGGUGGCGAGCGUUAUCCGGAAUUAUUGGGCGUAAAGAGCGCGCAGGUGGUUGAUUAAGUCUGAUGUGAAAGCCCACGGCUUAACCGUGGAGGGUCAUUGGAAACUGGUCGACUUGAGUGCAGAAGAGGGAAGUGGAAUUCCAUGUGUAGCGGUGAAAUGCGUAGAGAUAUGGAGGAACACCAGUGGCGAAGGCGGCUUCCUGGUCUGUAACUGACACUGAGGCGCGAAAGCGUGGGGAGCAAACAGGAUUAGAUACCCUGGUAGUCCACGCCGUAAACGAUGAGUGCUAAGUGUUGGGGGUCGAACCUCAGUGCUGAAGUUAACGCAUUAAGCACUCCGCCUGGGGAGUACGGUCGCAAGACUGAAACUCAAAUAAAUUGACGG